rnacentral:rRNA from 1 species
GACGAAGGGGGCUAGCGUUGUUCGGAAUUACUGGGCGUAAAGCGCGUGUAGGCGGUUGCCCAAGUCGGGUGUGAAAGCCUUGAGCUCAACUCAAGAAAUGCACUCGGUACUGGGUGACUAGAGGACCGGAGAGGAUAGUGGAAUUCCCAGUGUAGUGGUGAAAUACGUAGAGAUUGGGAAGAACACCAGUGGCGAAGGCGGCUAUCUGGCCCGGUACUGACGCUCAUGUGCGAAAGCGUGGGGAGCAAACAGG